UUUUUUUUCCCCCUUUUUUUUUUUGCUCUAAAACCAAAUGUAGGGAAUCCCUAAUACCAAAGAGCAGGAAUUGGGAACUCAAAUCUAACUAUGAAAAUAGGAAGAGUUGAAGCAACUAAAAAAGAGAGAUGAGCUGAUCCAAGAACUAGCAGAAGAAGAAAGCAACUGAGACUUAGAGCUAAAUUUUCACAUCAGAAAUUGCAAAGGAAGCAAACCCAUGUCAAACCUGAUUACGGAAACUGAGAAAAUAAAAAGGAAAACAGGAUUAUUGAAUAAAGUAAAGAAAUCACAGCUGCAGAGCUCAAUAUUAGAACAAAAUCCCAGAUAGGAUUCCUGAAAAUAGAGGUGGAAAAGAGAAUUAAAUAUAAUAUAUAAGAAAUUUCUUAUAUUAUAAAACUAGAGACAUACAUGCCAAUGGCAAGCAGAAAUACAAAGAGAUGAGAGGAAGAAAGAGAGAGAAAGCUAAAGUGAGGAAGUGAUGUAAUGAAAGAAGUUAAGAAUCAGAGAGAAAAGUGGAGUAAUAACUAUCUGAUAAAAAUAAAAUAAAAAUAAAAAUGGAGUAAUAAAUAAGCUCAAGAAUCUAUCCAACGAAAGACAUGCCAAUCCAAUCCAACAUAAAAAGGCGCUCUUGGCACUUAAGCCUACACAAGCAAAUAAUAAUAAUUACAAAGAAAGAGACCCUUAAAC
rnacentral:misc_RNA from 1 species